AGUGAACGCUGGCGGUAGGCCUAACACAUGCAAGUCGAACGGCAGCACAGUAAGAGCUUGCUCUUACGGGUGGCGAGUGGCGGACGGGUGAGGAAUACAUCGGAAUCUACUUUUUCGUGGGGGAUAACGUAGGGAAACUUACGCUAAUACCGCAUACGACCUACGGGUGAAAGCAGGGGAUCUUCGGACCUUGCGCGAUUGAAUGAGCCGAUGUCGGAUUAGCUAGUUGGCGGGGUAAAGGCCCACCAAGGCGACGAUCCGUAGCUGGUCUGAGAGGAUGAUCGGCGACAUUGGAACUGGGACACGGUCCAGACUCCUACGGGAGGCAGCAGUGGGGAAUAUUGGACAAUGGGCGCAAGCCUGAUCCAGCCAUACCGCGUGGGUGAAGAAGGCCUUCGGGUUGUAAAGCCCUUUUGUUGGGAAAGAAAGGCAGCAGGUUAAUACCCCGCUGUUCUGACGGUACCCAAAGAAUAAGCACCGGCUAACUUCGUG
rnacentral:rRNA from 1 species